rnacentral:rRNA from 1 species
UACGGAGGGUGCAAGCGUUAUCCGGAUUCACUGGGUUUAAAGGGUGCGUAGGUGGGCAGGUAAGUCAGUGGUGAAAUCUCCGGGCUUAACCCGGAAACUGCCAUUGAUACUAUUUGUCUUGAAUACCGUGGAGGUCAGCGGAAUAUGUCAUGUAGCGGUGAAAUGCUUAGAUAUGACAUAGAACACCAAUUGCGAAGGCAGCUGGCUACACGAAUAUUGACACUGAUGCACGAAAGCGUGGGGAGCAAACCGG